UCAACUUCUCCAAAACAGAACUGGGAGACAUGAGGUUCUGCCCUGGACCUGAAAUGGUCACAAGGCUCUUCUUCUGUGUGGCUUUUUGUCUCCUGUGGGCAGGGCAUGUGGAUGCUGGAGUCACCCAAAGCCCAAGAUACAAGGUCACAGGGACAGGAGACAGAGUGGUUCUGAGAUGUCACCAGACUGAGAACUAUGACUAUAUGUACUGUUAUCGACAAGACCUAGGCCACUGGCUGAGGCUGAUCCAUUAUUCAUAUGGCAUUAACAACACUGAGAAAGGAGAAGUCCCCGAUGGGUACGACGUCUCUAGAUUAAAUACAGAGGAUUUCCUCCUCACUCUGGAGUCCCCUACCCGCUCCCAGACAUCUGUGUACUUCUGUGCCUACAGUGACUCCACAGCGCUGCACAACAGCCUACUCCCCACACAUAAAGGGUCGUUAGAAAGAUUGAGGUUGCCCUGCGUGGCGAUGCCUGCUCCAGACCCCAGGAAGCCCAGCCUCCGGUGCUCACAGGGCUCCUGCCACCACGCGCCUCACAGCAGGGGGCAAUAUGCCCUCGGCGCCCAAGUCUGCCCCCUGCACCAGCCUCAGCCGGAUGGAGGUCACCCAACAUGCUUCCCUUGUCUGCGGGUCUCUCUGCUUGCAGAAAGGAAAAUGCGUCUUUAUUAAGAUACAUGAAGAUUCCUUUGAUAGUGUCAAAGCCCCCCCUUUCCUCUCGCCCCCUGUGGGCUUCGGUGCCUCCAUCAUCUGCUUUGUCCUCCCUCCUCCCCUGCUCUCCAAUUUAGGACACAAAUCUCGGCUCCCAUGGUCUCUACUCCCGGCUGCCUUGCGUCUUCAGGGCAGCAGCCCUGCACAGGCCUGUGGCACCUUGCUCAAGACCCCUGGCUUUCUCAGCCCGGCCACACCCAUCCACGUGUGCCACGUCCUUUUCCACCCAGAAACAUUUUCCACUGGCUGUUUCUUCUGCACCAACACAUGUCCCCCCUCUCUUACCUCUAGAUUUCAACUUCAUUCCUCACAUGAAAAUACAUUUCAGGUAUACUUACUCUUAAUUAUGUAAAGUAAAACAAAUUUUACUAGAGGAUAUUAAUUUUUAUUUCUUUUUAGGAAAACAUUUUUAGGCAUUUAUUUGAAGAAGGGAUUUUUUUCAGGCAGAGCCACAACAAAAACCACCAAAAUAUGUUGCAAUUUCAGUUGCAUAAAAUUAAACUCUUAUACAACAAAACACACCAUAAAAUGAAAAGGUAAGCCACAGACUGGGGACAGGCAUGAGGAACACAAACAAAUGAUAAAGAAUCAGUGGGACGAGACCAUGCCGGCCAAGUCCCCGUGGCUCCUCUGUGGCUUCCGGCCUCACUUGCAGUUGGGGCAUUGGGAACUGUGACCAGGUUUUGUACAGUGGAAAGUGCGUAAAAAUUAUGUAAGUCAUUUCCAAGCCUUUCCC